rnacentral:rRNA from 1 species
GAUGAACGCUGGCGGCGUGCCUAAUACAUGCAAGUCGAGCGAAUGGAUUAAGAGCUUGCUCUUAUGAAGUCAGCGGCGGACGGGUGAGUAACACGUGGGUAACCUGCCCAUAAGACUGGGAUAACUCCGGGAAACCGGGGCUAAUACCGGAUAACAUUUUGAACCGCAUGGUUCGAAAUUAAAAGGCGGCUUCGGCUGUCACUUAUGGAUGGACCCGCGUCGCAUUAGCUAGUUGGUGAGGUAACGGCUCACCAAGGCAACGAUGCGUAGCCGAACUGAGAGGGUGAUCGGCCACACUGGGACUGAAACACGGCCCAGACUCCUACGGGAGGCAGCAGUAGGGAAUCUUCCGCAAUGGACGAAAGUCUGACGGAGCAACGCCGCGUGAGUGAUGAAGGCUUUCGGGUCGUAAAACUCUGUUGUUAGGGAAGAACAAGUGCUAGUUGAAUAAGCUGGCACCUUGACGGUACCUAACCAGAAAGCCACGGCUAACUACGUGCCAGCCGCCGCAGUAA